rnacentral:lncRNA from 1 species
GAAAUCCCACUAAUUAGUGGCUAAUUGGGUCGUUAGGGGUGGGAAAUGGCAGUGAUUAGCUUUGAGUGCGUUAAUGAGGGUGCUAAUGAGGCUAAUUAGCACUCACACGUCGCCCUCGGGGGCGUAGGUGGAGCCGGUGAUGGAAAACUCGUUAAGCGUGCAAACGUCGCCCUCCACCUUGUCCACGAUGAACAUCUGGGGGGUCAAAGGUCACGGGGUCAGAGGUCACGGGACCGACAUCUGGUUGGUGGUGAGGGUGCCGGUUUUGUCGGAGCAGAUGACGGAGGUGCAGCCCAAGGUUUCCACGGAGGGGAGGCUGCGCACGAUGGCGUUUUUCUUCGCCAUCCGCCUCGUCCCCAAAGCCAGGCAGGUGGUGAUGACGGCAGGCAGCCCUACAGAAACCCCACAGCAGGGGCUGCGUCACCCCAUAGCCGCACCCGAGCCAUAGGACCCCGUAACGACCCGUAGGAUCCCAUAGAAUUCCCAUAAAAACCCAUAGGAACUCCAUAGGAACCCAUAGAACCCCCAUAGGAACGCAGAGAAACCCAUAGGAACCCAUAGAACCCCCAUAGGAAGCCAUAGUAACCCAUAGAACCCCCAUAGGAACCUAUAGGAACCCAGAGAAACCCAUAGGAACCCAUGGGAACCCAUAGGAACGCACAGAACCCCAUAGGAACCCAUAGGAACCCCAUAGAACUCCCAUAGGAACCCAUAGGAACCCAUAAAACUCCCAUAGGAAACCAUAGAACCCCCAUAGGAAAUCAUAGAACCCCCAUAGGAACUCAUAGGAACCCAUCAAACCCCAUAGGAAACCAUAAAACCCCCAUAGGAACCCAGAGAAACCCAGAGAAACCCAUAGGAACUCAUAGGAACCCAUAGAAACCCCAUAGGAACCCAUAGAAACCCCAUAGAACCCCCAUAGAAACCCAUAGGAACCCAUAGGAACCCAUAGAACCCCCAUAGGAACCCAUAGGAACCCAUAGAACCCCCAUAGGAACCCAUAAGAACCCAUAGGAACCCAUAGAACCCCCCCAUAGGAACCCAUAGAACNNNNNNNNNNNNNNNCAUAGAACCCCCAUAGGAACUCAUAGUAACCCAUCAAACCCCAUAGGAAACCAUAGAACCCCCAUAGGAACCCAUAAAACCCCAUAGGAACCCAUAGAACCCCCAUAGGAACCCACAAAACCCCAUAGGAAACCAUAGAACACCCAUAGGAACACAUAGGAACCCCAUAGGAACUCAUAGGAACCUAUAAAACCCCAUAGGAAACCAUAGGAAACCAUAGAACCCCCAUAGGACCCCAGAAAACCCCCAUAAGACCCCAUAAGACCCGACAAAAGCCCUCAUAAGACCCCUCUAAGACCCUAUAGGACCCCAGAAAACCCCUAUAGGAC